GGACACGGCCGUGGAUGCGCCAGCCGGUCGCGGAAACGGGGUCCGGUUCCGUUUGACUCGGCCAUAGGCCCCAAGGCCCGGGCCCCUCGCCUCCGUCGACGGAUCGGACCUCCCCGUGACUUCCGAUUCACCUGGCACAUCCACAGUCCCCAAAGAAGGGACUCUUCCAUGUGUGACGACGGUUUCUGAGGAAGCAAGACGUCCGCCCGCUUUCCCGGGGGAGCCAAGAUGAGAGGGACGGCGCCCAAAGCGCGGAUGAGGUCGCGACCGGCCGACCGCCGGCCGUUCCGUUCGGCGCAGACCACGUGGAGUCGCCGGGGCCGUGAGGAACUUGCUCACGCAACGUGCAUCUCCGGUCACCUCUGACAUACAUCUCCCUCAUCCGCGGCGUCGCUGUGGCUCGAUCUGUCUCAAACGAAAUCGUUUGCCUUUCAACUCCAACGCUGUGUGUUUCUGUAAUAUGUUCGCAUAUGACAAUGUCUGUCUCCUACCGCAGCCCCUAAGCUCAUAAAGGGCAAAAGGCGUGGCUGUCGAUCGUUCUUUCGUCCUCUCUCGA